rnacentral:rRNA from 1 species
GAUGAACGCUGGCGGUAUGCCUAACACAUGCAAGUCGUACGAGAGUUUUUAACUCUAGUGGCGGACGGGUGAGUAACACGUGAGAAUUUGCCUUUAGGAGGGGGACAACAAUCGGAAACGAAUGCUAAUACCCCAUAUGCUUUUGAGUGAAAUGGAUUUUAUCCGCCUAGAGAGAAGCUCGCGGCUGAUUAGCUUGUUGGUAAGGUAAGAGCUUACCAAGGCGACGAUCAGUAUCUGGUUUGAGAGGACGAUCAGACACACUGGAACUGAGACACGGUCCAGACUCCUACGGGAGGCAGCAGUGGGGAAUUUUCCGCAAUGGGCGAAAGCCUGACGGAGCAAUACCGCGUGAGGGAAGAAUGCCUAUGGGUUGUAAACCUCUUUUUUCAGGGAGGAAUAAAAUGACGUGUACCUGAAGAAUAAGCAUCGGCUAACUCCGUG